rnacentral:lncRNA from 1 species
UUCAUGCUAAAUCCAGCCAAAAUAAAGCCAUUUUUAACCAAAUUCUUUGGUGCUUCCUGACAGGGCUGGUGGCACUUUCCCCUCUGAGGAGCAAAUCUCUGGAUUCUCUGCAGCCGCAGCAGCUCCAACCUCCUGGAGCAAUCCCACCUGAGGAAUUCCCUCCUGAAAUCUGUUCCACAGAAUCCAAGGAAUCCAGGAAAACAAGACCUGGCAGCAGGAAAUCCCUGUCCCUGCAGCCUGGCAUCCCCUGGCAGGAAAACCCCCUGAAAUAUUCCCAGCAUCGCAGUUCAGCUGGCAGGUUUGAAGGAGAAGAGAUGUCAUUAAUUGUGUUUUAUGUAAUUAAUUGGGGCUGAGCUCAGCUGGGCUCCGGGGCCAAAGGACCUCCCUGCCCCAAGAGCUUCCACGUUUGAAGCGUUAAUUCAGCCACAGACGUCAGAAAAAAAUAAUAAAUAAAUCAACCUGCAUCUCCCUGAUGUGCAGAUUGAAUUGUUCUUCCUUUCUCUUUCCCUAGGAAGGGAAGGCGACGGCCGCUUCUGGCUGGAGGAGGCGGCGAAAGGGAAAAAAGGGAUUUUCCCGCAGUGUUUGGGGCCGGUUUCGGUCUUUGUUGCUGUUUUUCACCGCGCUCUGGGAUGAUUGGUUCCGAAUUUAUCUCCGGGCUGCUCCGGUUCCUGCGGGAUGCCGGGAAUUCAGGAAUGGAGUGAAAAACAGAAGGAAGAGUGGCACUCGGCAUGACGGAGCACCUCCUCCUCCUCUCUGCUUGUUCAGCCCCACUCUGGGGGUAUUUUUGGGUUUCUGCCUUUUUCCCAAGCCCCCGGAGCAGCUGGGGAGGGCCGGGAUUGCCCCUGAUCGGCUCAGCACAGAUGGCAGCCCCGCAACCCGCCGGGAUUUCCCCCAGGACAUCCCUCCCUCCUCCUCCUCCUCCUUUUCUCUGAACGCCCUCCCAGCCACGAGAUGAUGGAAUUUCACCCCAGGAAAAUUAACGUAACAAACAUCCACGUAUUCUGAAAGCAGAAAAGAAUUCUGGCCCUCCAACAGAAUUCUUUCACUUGCAACUUUGUCUUUCCCGCAUAUUAAAAUGUAAAAAUAACAUUUUAAAUAUUGAACUGGCUUAUAUACAAAU